GUUUGCCCGAGUGGUUAAGGGGGUGGACUUAAGAUCCACUGCACGCAAGUGCGCAUGGGUUCGAACCCCAUAG
rnacentral:tRNA from 1 species